AGGUGUCUGGUAAGGGCCCUGUCAGCUGUGCCCAGCUCCCAAAGGGAGGGCAGAGAGAUGAUGCCAGGGCCUCCGGUCCGGGGCUGGCCAGAGCUCAAGAGCGGGCUGGGAGUGAAGCCUGGAGUUUGGAGGAGAGAGUGGGGACUGCCCCUUCCAGCGACCGUGUCGUGAGGGAUCCGCACAGAGUGGGCCCCCGGCCUGCUGAGGAUCCCGCAGGCCAGGGCUGAGCACUGAUCGGAAGGGGUCCCCGCACAGCCUCGACAGACCCCAUACUCACGUGUCUCCAUCCUCGGAGAUGUAGGCUAGAGCAAAAAUACAGUCAGAAACUCCAGACCAGACUACUUGGGCUUUCAUCUGGCACUAUCACAUCCCCAUCUUAAAGUCUGGAAGCUGAAAUCCAGAGAGGCCUAAGGAGUUGGGGCAUCUGAAACCACUGCAAAGACACAAGAACUUGGACAGAUGCAGACAGAGGCUGAAUUUGGGGAAAAAGCUAUCCCAAUUCAGUCCUACCUCUGGCUCUGAACUCUAACAGGUGUGUAGCAGCCCCUUUUCUGGCCACAUGAGGUCAGCAUUGAGUCACUCACCGCUUCCAGCACCUUGCCUGCAGUCCUACUGGAAGCCUUCCUGGGGACACUUCAGAAUGAGGAGAGGGACCAUUUGGAAAGAUGACACGGGGACUCUGACUCAGGCCUCACCGUGGCCAGGGCCUUGACUUUGCUCCUUAGCCCCUCCAGUCCUCCUCUCUCCGCUGUUAUCUUUUGGUUCCAUUUGUAGUACCCCCACUCCCAGAUUCCACCCACCCCAGUUAGGCUCAUCUUCAGGAAACAGGCCCGGUUGCCAUGGUGACCAGCUGGUCAGCUGGCUCCUUCCUCCCCCCUCCCUUCACCCCUCUUUCCUCUGAGUUUCCAAGGAAGGGUUCUGUGUGAAUGGAGAAGUGUGUGGGUGGGUGGGUGGCGGGGGGGAGUUUGUCAGGGGUCUUUUAUCUCUUGGAAGCUCUGGGGCUGGCCAAAGGAGUUGGGCCCAGCUCUCCUCCAAAGCCCCCUGCGGUGGAUGGGGACAAGGAGUGAGAUUACAACUAAAUGUGGAGCGUGAGCCUCCUAUCUGGGUUAGGAAAGGGCAAGGCUAGGAACUCUGCACUCUUGUCUGUGGUGAGGGCUGAACUAGGUGGACCUCGCUGAGUGAGACCAGAAGAGGGGUUGGAGUUAGAUGUGAGGUAGGACUUCCCAUAAAGCCUGGAUAGGAGACACUGGAGUGAGCCACCAAAUGAGAUUCCUCCUCUGCCAAGGGAAUGAGGGAGAGGCCAGCCUCUUCAGGACCACACCCUUCCUCUGUUUGGGAGGAUUUACCGAUGGACUGGUGGUGGAGGAUCAUGCAGGCUGGAAUAGUUCUGAAGCACCUUGCCUGCAAAGAGAAGACUAGAAGCAAGACCAGGAGUGAGUGUGUAUGGGAUGGGGAUGGGGGGGCAGAGGCAGUGGCUAUUCAGCCUCAGGUGAGGGGCAGGACCAUCCCAUCAGCUGAGUGCUCUUGUCCCCUGUCCCAAAGACCAGAUUAUCCAAAGUUUCCUUUAAACUAACUUCCUGCCCACAAAUAACCCCACGGCCUUUGGAAUGGGAAAGAUCUGGAUUCUAGGACUAGCUCUGUGAGUACUAGCAGGUGACCUUGAGUAAGUCACUCAACCUCCCUCUACUUUGGUUCCUUGUGGGUAAAUGGGAAAGCAGUUAUAUGUGUUGAAGACUCUAAUGUAGCACACGGCAGGGUAGGAUUCCAUAGUGACUGUGCACACACAGAUUGAAUACACAUAGCCUUUAUACUGUUUUAUGCUAAUGAUUGGUACCCCUCCCCAUGAAACUUUGUGGUCUUUUAGGGUAGAAUAUUGUAUGUUUCAUUUCUGAAUAGGGUAUACACUAGGUACCUAAUACCUGUUUAUUGAAGGGAUACAUCCGGGAGUGAAUGAAGGAAUAAAUGUGUCUUCUUUCA